GCCGGGGGCUGUUCCUCGUGGCCUCCGUGGUUGCGCGAUCCACAUCACUGGUGUCAACAAGCGUGAAAAUGCUUGCUUGUCGGCUACUGUCGAUAAAUUCACCGACGUCUGAAGUAUUACCGACCAAGAUAUUGAGCUUAAAAUUCAAUCAAAUGCGUCAGCAGCCUGACUUCGGUGUGAAGAGGAACUUAAGUGGUAUUUCAACGAUCUAAGGUUGAAUACCUACUUAAAGUGGACGGUGAUAGUAAGUUCUUUCAUUUGGUGGCAAAUGGUUGUAGUCGGAAUAAACAUAUUUCACCCUACAACGGGAUAUUAUCCAGGGUGCUGAUCUUCUUAAGCAACACAUUACAAAAUAUUAUCAAAAAAAUUUCACUUCAUCGGAAACCAGUUUUGUGAGUUUCGAUGAGUCAAGAUUGGGUAAUAUCCCCCAAGCCUCUAAGGCUGGAAAUGGGUUCUUCGGGGCCCCUUUCACGGAAAAGAAUGUCAAGGAAGCAGUUUUCCAUAUGGAACAUAAUAAAGAUCCAGAUCCAGAAUGUUUCCCAACGGAAUUCUAUGAGACUUUUUGGAAUGUUAUCAAGAAUGACCGGCUUUGUUCAAUGAUUCCCACAAUGGUAUUCUCCCGCUUUUUAGCUUUAACUUUGGCGAGAUCACUCCUACCAAAGGUGAAAGAUCCUAAUAGUAUUCGUAGUAUAGGCCCAUUUGUUUCUUUACGUGGUCUUUAAAUUUUUUUUACUAAGGUUGUGAAUAGUCAUAUGAAUAGCGUGGCGGACCUGUGGUGCACCUGACUGAAAAUACGUUAUGAAGGAAAGAUAUACUGUGGUGGUCUUUCAUGAAACCAUUCACGAACUGCAUCAAAAAAAAUUAAGCGAAGUCAUCCGUAAAACUGAUUUCGAGAAAGCCUAUGAUAAAGUGAAAUGUUUGUUCCUCAUGUAGACUCUUCGUACCAACAAAAGAUAUUAAGUGCAAUGUUGGAUUGAGUACUUUGCCUCCAGAAAGACAAACUCUUCUGAUGUCAUUUUUAAUUUUUUUAAAGAAAACAAAUGAAAGCAAACGAAAGAAGCAAAAGAAACACAAAAUCUUUUUGAAAAAAUUCUUUUUUUGGAGAACAAACCAAGAGAGCAAAAACGAAACCAAAGAAAACCCAGAAAGAAAGAAAGACAGAAAGGAAAAACAUAUUUGGAGUUUUCCUUUUUCAAAAGCUAAAUGAGGAGAACUAAAAAACCAAAAUAAAAAUAGAAAAUCCUUUUGUAUUUUUGAAGGGAAAAAAAAGCAAACACGAUAACUAAAGACUAAAAAGAAAGAAAACAAUAAAAAGAAGAAAAGGAUACGUACUCCCUCAAUCUACGCACUGGAUCCGUCUUUGGGCUUUCCUGCUCUCUGUGCACUUGCGGGGACUUAUGGAUAUUUGAUGUGUUGUAGUAAAAUAAAACCCUUAUAUGGGCCGGGCCGUAAAUCCUACGUGACGACGACCAAGUCAACAUUUCGCAAGCACGAGUCAAAGACGCCUACGUGGCGCGGUCAAUCCUACGUGGCAAAGGAAUAUUAGUCAACGAGUCAAGCCUCUCAUGCCAUGGUCAAAAGGUCAAAUGAGCUAGAGUGGGCGGCAAGAAAGGUGAGACGAGGGGGCCCUUAGUCCAUGGUGGACCAUGGACCAAGCCUUACUUUUCUCACAUGGUGCACACACAAAAGCUAUGGACCAAACGAGCUACUUUUACCAUUUUGCCCCCACUUUUCUCUCUCCCUCAAGGGUAGCCAUGGUCAUUUGUCAUGGACCCCUAGGCUAUAAAUACCCCCCAUGGGGGCAUGUAUCAUUCACUCUCACUUGAAUAAACUCAAGGGGAGAGGGCUAGAGUGCUCCCUC
rnacentral:lncRNA from 1 species